UACGUAGGGGGCGAGCGUUGCCCGGAUUCAUUGGGCGUAAAGGGCGCGUAGGCGGCCUGGGUGCGUCCCGCGUGAAAUCUCCCGGCUCAACUGGGAGGGGUCGCGGGAAACGACCGGCUCGAGCUCGGUAGGGGGCCAUGGAAUUCCCGGUGUAGUGGUGGAAUGCGUAGAGAUCGGGAGGAACACCAGUGGCGAAGGGCGGUG
rnacentral:rRNA from 1 species